AGUGCUGCAGCUCCUCCUCCUCCUCCUCCUCUUCGGUCUGUCUGCUGCUGCUGCUCUGAGCUCGAGACCGCAGGAAGUUUCAGCAGCAGCUCAGUCGCGCGCGUGUUCUCUGCGCUCGCUCCACGCGGGGAUGAAUGGCAGGCAGGCAGGGUCUUUAGGGCUUGUCACCGUCGAUUCCGCCCGUUUUACCGGGAUGAAGAGAUCACGAGAUGGAGCGUGAGCGCGCUGUGUGGACCCUGACCUCACAGUUCUCUCCAGCGGUUCCCCCCGUGCGGUUUCGGGCGAAUGGCAAACGUGAAAGUGGCGAUUCGGGUUCGGCCCCUGAACUCCAGCUCUCCAACAGUGCCAAUAAAAGCCAGACUUGGG
rnacentral:lncRNA from 1 species